rnacentral:sRNA from 1 species
AUUCGUAGGAAAAGAGAAAGGAGCAGCUGGUACUGUCUCUCUCCUCCCUCUUAUUGAAUGACCUUCAAAGUCCCACAACUUAAACCAACAUUGUUAGUACCAUGGUUCCGUUACAUUAUAAAAUAAAUACAAGAUUCAUAUAAGAUGUAAAACGGUCUCAUUCUUUUAGUUUGGAAUUUUUAUCUAAUUUCUGAUUUUUUAAUUUAAAAGCGAACUUUGAUAGCAUGAUUGAAUUGAAUUUCAAAGCUCCAUAUUUCUGCAGGAGAGGCUCCUACUUACCGUCUGAACUUUUUGCCUCCGACCUUAUCUUGAUUGCAAAUAGAAGAGUCUUCCAAACCUGUGAGGCUAUCACAACAGCUGGACAAAGUUGUAACAACCAAUUACAAACCUGUUGCUAAUCAUCAAUACAAUAUUGAAUAUGAAAGGAAAAAGAAAGAAGACGGAAAGCGAGCUCGAGCUGAUAAACAACAUGUUUUAGACAUGCUAUUUUCAGCCUUUGAGAAACAUCAAUACUAUAAUCUUAAGGACUUGGUGGACAUCAC